AAAAAACUUGGUGGAUAUGCAAAUGAGAAUCUCAAAAUAUGGGUGAUAGAAAAUGAGAUAAGGGAUUGCGUUGAUGGAAAUGCAAUGACAAUGGCGAGUGAGAAUGAGGACGAUGAGAAAUUUGUAAUCGAUCUAAACAAAGAUGUUAUUAAACGAGUUGAUGGUGGGAACUUAAUGGAGAUGGAUAAAACCUUUCAACAAUUAAAGACACAUCUAAUUGAUAUGGCUUAUGGUGCAAGUAAUAGUAGUUGUGAUCAAAUUUUGGCUAAAUUUGAGGAGAAUUAUACUACAGUGAAAGGUCUCUUCCUUAGGUCAAGCGGAAAAGCUUUGAGAAUG